UUAACUCAAAUUUGUAUAUAGUUGGAACAGCGCCCCUAGCGGCAAACGUAGGCAAACGUUCCAAUUUCAUACAAAUUUGAGUUA
rnacentral:pre_miRNA from 1 species